rnacentral:rRNA from 1 species
CCCUUAGAGUUUGAUCCUGGCUCAGGACGAACGCUGGCGGCGCGCCUAACACAUGCAAGUCGAACGAGAGAUGAGGAGCUUGCUCUUCAAAUCGAGUGGCGAACGGGUGAGUAACGCGUGAGGAACCUGCCUCAAAGAGGGGGACAACAGUUGGAAACGACUGCUAAUACCGCAUAAGCCCACGGCUCGGCAUCGAGCAGAGGGAAAAGGAGCAAUCCGCUUUGAGAUGGCCUCGCGUCCGAUUAGCUAGUUGGUGAGGUAACGGCCCACCAAGGCGACGAUCGGUAGCCGGACUGAGAGGUUGAACGGCCACAUUGGGACUGAGACACGGCCCAGACUCCUACGGGAGGCAGCAGUGGGGAAUAUUGCACAAUGGGGGAAACCCUGAUGCAGCGACGCCGCGUGGAGGAAGAAGGUCUUCGGAUUGUAAACUCCUGUUGUGAGGAAGAUAAUGACGGUACUCAACAAGGAAGUGACGGCUACUCUG